rnacentral:rRNA from 1 species
UACAGAGGGGGCGAAGCGUUGUUCGGAAUUACUGGGCGUAAAGGGCGCGUAGGCGGCCUGUUAAGUCGAACGUGAAAUCCCCGGGCUCAACCCGGGAACUGCGUCCGAUACUGGCAGGCUUGAAUCCGGGAGAGGGAUGCGGAAUUCCAGGUGUAGCGGUGAAAUGCGCAGAUAUCAGGAAGAACACCCGGUGGCUAAGGCGGCUCUCUAGUACGGUACUGACGCUGAGACGCGAAAGCGUGGGGAGCGAACAGG